UAUAAACAUGGCAGCUGAUGUUUUAAGAGAAAUUUCCCAACGCUGGAUGCAUCGUUAUUGACGGAAACUGGACGAAGUAAUUAUAGGCUUGUGAUUUGAGGUUUUGAAAGUUGCAAUGGCGACUGUCGUCCGAGAAGAUCUGAAAACUGUCUAUAGCCUCCUUGAGUUUGUUUAUAUUACUGGCCUUCCUGAACGGACUAUGAACAAAACCUUAUUUCCACGUAUACGAUUGCCUAAUUCCAAUUUCUGAAGGAGUUUUAAGAGGAUGAAGGUAUUCGGAAGAGGUUCACACUAGCCAUGAUCAAUGAAGACUAUCCUCCGAAAACAUGGACUCAUGUCUAUACAGAUGGAUCAGCCACAUGCGCCAUCAAAGAUAGAGCAGGAGUUUUAAUUCUAUAUCCAUCCGGCAAGAGAGAAACACUACAUGCAGCCACAAGAAAACACUGCAGCAAUUACAAGGCGGAGACUGAAGCACUCAUGAAGGCCGUCUCAAUGAUUGAAGACUCGGCAGAAGAAAGCUCCUCAGUCGUCUUUCUCACAGAUGCACUGUCUGACAUGGAAGCUCUGAUCAACAAUAAAGCUCCAAAGCUGGCCAGGAGAAUGCAGAGCCUGAGUAUCACCUGCAAAGUAACACUCCAGUUGAUUCCAUCAUAUUGUGGACUUGCAGGCAAUGAAGAGGCAGACCAACUGGCUAAGCUAGGAGCUCAGAACAACCAACAAUACUUGUGAACUUCAGAACAACCAACAAUACUUGUGAACUACAAGGAGAGUCACCGUCAUCAAGACACUAACGAAACCAAGGAUAGAGGAAGAUGCUUUUCAUCUCCUUGAUCAGUCUGAACAAGUGAUGCUGGUCAGGUUUCGCUCAGGGCACAACAAGCUCAAUGCUCACAUGUACAAGAAAUACAUAUAUCUGUGGCAAACCACACGUUUCAUCGAGGCUACUGGUCUGACAGUGUAUGGCGAACAAAGAAGAAGAAGAAGAAGAAGUUUCUGAAACAAGUGCAAACCACUGUAAAAGUUUUUUCUUCUCUUAAGCAUUGACAAACUCAACAGACAUAUACCAGUUAAACGAAUAUGCGUAUUCUUAAAAAAUGACACGAGCUGUAUUUUAACAAGUGUUGUCUUCAUUUUAAGUUCUAAUCACAUUCAGAAUUGUCUUAAAGUGUUAACAUUUUGUUUCAAAUAUCUUAUCUUGGAUUAAGAAGUAAGUGGUGUAACAUGAUUAAGAAGUUAGUAGUGUAACAUGUAUAUGUCAAUAUUAUAUCGACAGAUCUUGUUUUAUGUAAUAUAUUUAU
rnacentral:lncRNA from 1 species